CAGCCCCUUUGGGAGCCAAGAAAGCGGUAGACCUGCCUCCAGGUCCCUGAGAAUUCUGGCUCUGCCAAGAGUGCUUUCCAUACCCUGGCGGAGUGGCGUCGGCGUUCAAGGCGCCUUUCCCCUUAGCAAUGCAGUGUGCCUCAGCCCAGGGCCCUACCCUUGAGGAAACCGCACGUUCUGGAUUCUGCAUGGGCCAACGUUGGCCCAGAGACGUCAGGGAAUUUGAGGCAACAUUCCCAGCCGGCCUGCUGUCUCCCCAUGUUCUGCUCUCUGCCUUGUUCAGUGAGAGUUUACCGGAAGAGGUAACUAUUCCCGAAUGAGAGUCUGCUAUCAGUCUAGCACAAAACUCUGAAAAUACCUCCUUCCUGGCCUGGAUCUUCAGUGGGAGCUGCGCUCUUGAGGGCAGAACGGCGGCCGCGGCAGACACAAAGACCUGAAGAUAGUCUUUUCUGUCCAAAGAUGGAAAACAGCACUACUACCAUUUCUCGGGAGGAACUUGAAGAACUACAAGAAGCAUUUAAUAAAAUAGAUAUUGAUAAUAGUGGGUAUGUCAGUGACUAUGAACUUCAAGAACUGUUUAAGGAAGCAAGCCUUCUUCUGCCUGGCUACAAGGUGCGAGAGAUUGUGGAGAAAAUUCUAUCAGUUGCUGACAGCAACAAAGAUGGCAAAAUCAGUUUUGAAGAGUUUGUGUCACUAAUGCAAGAAUUAAAAAGCAAAGAUAUCAGCAAAACAUUCCAAAAGAUAAUUAACAAGACGGAAGGGAUUACUGCUAUUGGAGGAACUUCAUCUAUUUCCAGUGUGGGCACACAGCAUUCGUAUUCAGAGGAAGAAAAAGUGGCUUUUGUUAACUGGAUAAACAAAGCCCUGGUGAAUGACUCUGACUGUAAGCAUCUUAUACCCAUGAAUCCCAAUGAUGAUAGUCUUUUCAAGUCACUUGCAGAUGACAUCCUUCUUUGCAAAACGAUCAACUUAUCUGAACCAGAUACAAUUGAUGAAAGAGCCAUCAAUAAGAAAAAGCUCACGCCUUUCACCAUUUCUGAAAAUUUAAACCUACCUCUGAAUUCUGCCUCGGCCAUUGGUUGUACAGCUGUCAACAUCAGUGCAUCAGAUCUCAAAGAAGGAAAACCUCACUUGGUCUUGGGACUUCUCUGGCAGAUCAUCAAAGUUGGCCUUUUUGCUGAUAUUGAGAUUUCUAGGAAUGAAGCUCUGAUUGCAUUGCUGAAUGAAGGUGAGGAACUAGAGGAGCUGAUGAAGCUUUCUCCUGAGGAAUUACUGCUGCAAUGGGUGAACUACCAUCUGACCAAUGCAGGAUGGCAUACCAUUAGCAACUUCAGCCAAGACAUUAAGGAUUCGAGAGCCUAUUUUCAUCACUUAAUCAGAUUGCCCCUAAAGGUGGGGAAGAUGGACCUGCCAUUGCCAUUGACCUUUCAGGAAUUAAUGAGAAAAAUGACCUGAAGCGUGCUGGACUCAUGCUUCAAGAGGCAGAUAAAAUGGGCUGCAAGCAGUUUGUUACUCCUGCAGAUGUGGUUUCAGGCAAUCCUAAAUUUAAUUUGGCUUUUGUGGCUAAUCUGUUUAACACAUACCCAUGCCUGCACAAGCCGAAUAAUAAUGACAUCAGUAUGAAUUUACUGGAAGGAGAGAGCAAGGAAGAGAGGACAUUUCGGAACUGGAUGAAUUCCUUGGGAGUCAACCCAUACAUUAAUCAUUUGUACAGUGACCUUGCAGAUGCUUUAGUGAUCUUUCAGCUCUAUGAGAUGAUACGAGUGCCAGUCAACUGGAGCCAUGUCAAUAAACCUCCUUACCCUGCCCUUGGAGGGAACAUGAAGAAGAUUGAUAACUGUAACUAUGCAGUGGAACUUGGGAAGAACAAGGCCAAAUUCUCCUUGGUUGGCAUUGCUAGGCAGGACCUAAAUGAAGGGAAUUCAACACUUACCCUGCCAUUGGUAUGGCAGCUGAUGAGAAGGUACACAUUGAAUGUGUUAUCGGAUCUUGGAGAGGGUGAAAAAGUAAAUGAUGAAAUUAUUAUUAAAUGGGUCAAUCAGACUCUUAAAAGUGCAAACAAAAAUACUUCUAUUUCCAUCUUCAAGGAUAAAUCUAUAAGCACAAGUUUACCUGUCCUAGAUUUAAUAGAUGCCAUUGCACCAAAUGCAGUUCGUCAAGAAAUGAUCAAGAGAGAAAACUUAUCUGAUGAGGACAAGCUGAACAAUGCUAAAUAUGCCAUUUCCGUUGCUCGAAAGAUCAGUGCCCGGAUAUAUGCAUUACCUGAUGACCUUAUGGAAGUGAAACCAAAGAUGGUUAUAAAGGUGUUUGCAUGCUUAAUGGGAAAAGGACUGAACAGAAUAAAAAAUCAUUUCAUAUGAUUUUUUGCCAUAUUAAACAUAUUCUAUGCCUCACAGUUUACAGAAUUCUAAAAUGUAGUGGGUAUAAAACCAGAGAUUAUUUGUAUGCUCAAAAUAGUUAUAUAUUCAUUAAUGAAUUCAAUAUCCUGUUCAUACUAGUUAGAGCUGGUCAGCCUUUUUGGAUCACAGUUAAUUUACCAGCUGAUACAGAUAAUAGAAUAUAUUCAUAAUCAAGCUGCUACUUCAUGAUUAAAUUAUUUUGUUGCUUAAAAGUCUUAUUAAGACAAGACAUUCAUUCUUUUUUAUAGUUCAAAAGAGAUGAAUACAAAAGUGUUUGCAGGUUCUGUUGUGAAAUGUGUUUUGAUUUUUGUGUGUGUCAAUUUUGAUCACAAAUGCAUUCAUACUCAUAAUCCAGUUUUAUUUGCUUCCUCCAACUGUUUAAAGUGGUCCAAAAACACUUUUCUGUAGGUUUCUAUACUGUCUAAAACUUUAUGGUGACAAGUAUUGUUUAUUAAUAUCAAACUUUUUUAUAUAUGAGAACUAAUUCUUGAAUAAACCCCAAAGUUCACUCUCUUGUUAAGUAGCAGCAGCUUUUUACUUAAAACUUAAUUUUAGCUGCAUUGAUACCUUACAUAUCCUAGUUUGUUAAUACUAGUAUUGAUCGACUUACC